UACGUAGGGUGCAAGCGUUUGUCCGGAAUUAUUGGGCGUAAAGAGCUCGUAGGCGGUUUGUUGCGUCGGCUGUGAAAUCCCGAGGCUCAACCUCGGGUCUGCAGUCGAUACGAGCAAACUAGAGUGUUGCAGGGGAGACUGGAAUUCCUGGUGUAGCGGUGAAAUGCGUAGAUAUCUGGAGGAACACCCGGGUGGCGAAGGCGGCAUUCUGGACCAAUAUUGACGCUGAGGAGCGAAAAGCCAGGGGAGCAAACGGG
rnacentral:rRNA from 1 species